GUACUUCCUUCGGUGGUACAUGUACUAAAAUUGGAACGAUGCAGUGAAGUGUUAGCGUGUGGCCCCAGUACAAGGAUGACACGCAAAAUCUGAUGAAGUGUUCCAUUGAAAU